AUGAACGCUGGCGGCGUGCCUAAUACAUGCCAGUCGAGCGAACGGACGAGAAGCUUGCUUCUCUGAUGUUAGCGGCGGACGGGUGAGUAACACGUGGAUAACCUACCUAUAAGACUGGGAUAACUUCGGGAAACCGUAGCUAAUACCGGAUAAUAUUUUGAACCGCAUGGUUCAAAAGUGAAAGACGGUCUUGCUGUCACUUAUAGAUGGAUCCGCGCUGCAUUAGCUAGUUGGUAAGGUAACGGCUUACCAAGGCAACGAUGCAUAGCCGACCUGAGAGGGUUAUCGGCCACACUGGAACUGAGACACGGUCCAGACUCCUACGGGAGGCAGCAGUAGGGAAUCUUCCGCAAUGGGCGAAAGCCUGACGGAGCAACGCCGCGUGAGUGAUGAAGGUCUUCGGAUCGUAAAACUCUGUUAUUAGGGAAGAACAUAUGUGUAAGUAACUGUGCACAUCUUGACGGUACCUAAUCAGAAAGCCACGGCUAACUACGUG
rnacentral:rRNA from 1 species